GACGAAGGCGGCUAGCGUUGUUCGGAAGUACUGGGCUUAAAGCGUGUGUAGGCGGAACAGUAAGUGCUUUGUGACAGCCCUCGGCUUAACCGGGGAAUUGCUUGGCAUACUGCUGUUCUUGAGGCAGGUAGGGGUGCGUGGAACUCUCGGUGGAGCGGUGGAAUGCGUAGAUAUCGAGAGGAACGCCCGUGGAGAAGUCGGCGCACUGGGCCUGACCUGACGCUGAGACACGAAAGCGUGGGGAGCGAACGGG
rnacentral:rRNA from 1 species